rnacentral:tRNA from 1 species
UCCCUGGUAGCUCAGAUGGUAAAGCGUCUGCCUACAAUGAGGGAUACCCAGGUUCAAUCCCUGGGUAGGGAA